AUUGAACGCUGGCGGCAGGCCUAACACAUGCAAGUCGAACGGCAGCGGGGGGUAGCUUGCUACCCCGCCGGCGAGUGGCGGACGGGUGAGUAAUGCCUGGGGAGCUGCCCGAUCGAGGGGGAUACCAGUUGGAAACGACUGCUAAUACCGCAUACGCCCUGAGGGGGAAAGGUGGGGAUCUUCGGACCUACCGCGAUUGGAUGCACCCAGGUGGGAUUAGCUAGUUGGUGAGGUAACGGCUCACCAAGGCGACGAUCUCUAGCUGGUCGGAGGGGAUGACCAGCGAGACUGGAACUGCGACACGGUCCAGACGCCUACGGGAGGCAGCAGUGGGGAAUAUUGCACAAUGGGGGAAACCCUGAUGCAGCCAUGCCGCGUGUGUGAAGAAGGCCUUCGGGUUGUAAAGCACUUUCAGCGAGGAGGAAAGGUUGGCAGCUGAUACCUGUCAGCUGUGACGUUACUCGCAGAAGAAGCACCGGCUAACUCCGUGCCAGCCGCCGCUGUAAAAC
rnacentral:rRNA from 1 species